UUUUCAACAAUUUAUUUGCUAACCAUGAGUAAACUGGUCUUUGUUUCAUAGUCCAAAAGUUGUUCAAAGACCCACGCAGGAAGUGUUCCUUGUACCAAGCUACCCAAACAGAUCCCGAUCUAAAGAAAAGAAGCCAGAUGAGUCUUAUGGAGCAAGCCCUAUUCCAGCUGAGCUUAGGCAGGACAAAAGAGGAGCACCAGAAGUUUGUGAUUCCUGCAAUAACCGUGUUGAUUAGCAGCAAUCGCCCUGCAAAAGAUAGAGGGACUCCUAGAUAGCGAACCGGGAGACAACCAAGUGGGAGUCCAGUCACUGUAGUAAUGAGAACAUGGAGGACAGCCUGAACAGAACUGAGGGAACCGUCCAAGAAGAUGAGAAGAUCAUCCGCAAAACAGAGACACAAGCAUGGAGCCAGUUGAGGAACAACUCAGGAAGUUCAAGACCCCGGAGGCACUGGAAGAGGAAAUCCCAAGAAACCGUGUCAAAAGCUUUUGCAAUGUCAACCUUAAUAACCACUCUCUUGGGGCCCUGGUUUUUAUGGUAUCCGUUAACAAUCUCAGCAGCAAGGAUGGUGUUCUCAAGGAGUAGUCUGUCUUGAACAAAGGCCGUUUGAUUUGGUAGGAUGAGAGAGGGGAGAAUUGGCUUGAGCUUAGCAACCAGGAGCUUGGAGACAACUUUGUAGAGAGUAUUGAGACAGGAUAUGGGACGGUAGUCAACAAUUCUAGAGGCACCAGAAUGUUUGGGCACCAAAGUGAGGAUGGUGGCAUUUGUGGAGGCUGGCAUGAAAGAGGUGAGGAAGAAGCGACUGAUAGAGAGUGAGCCGGUAUAAGUAACAUAGCUCUGGACUGGGAUGGUGGACAUCUGAAAGGGUUUAACUCUUGGAACCAUUGAAGAGAAGACCACUGAGCAGGAGGAGCAAGAUGAUCAGGAGCUAAGAUAGACUUAAAGUGGGUGAUUGCAUGAGUGCUCAUAAGCACAGGAUCCGUUAGCAGAGCACCAGAGUCCAACAGAAACGAGCGAAUAGUGUUAUAACUUGCUCUCGACUGGCAGAUCUUGUGGAAAUAAGAGCUGAAAGAUGGUAGGUGAUGGGCUUGCCAGAGCUUGUACCUGUACAUCCAAUAACAAACGGUCUGUGAGAUUUGAAGCAAAGCUUCCGGCUUGAAUCCAGGCUUCAUCCACUAACUGAAGGAAGUUUGGGUGUUUGGUAAGGUAGUUAAAGAACUUGAAAGGUCUGGUACCAGCUCUCGGGAGUUGAUAAGCAAGGUUUACAAGGCUUGGGGCAUGGUCAGAGGGAAACGGAGGUAAAAAGGUGGCAGUGCUGUCUGGAAAUAAAGAGAUCCAGUGAUGGUUCACCAAUACACGAUCAAGCUUCUUUGCAACAGGGGAUAGAGGCUGGUUGUUACUCCACGUAAAGGUUGGCCCCUGAGAUCUCAAGUCAAACAACUCCAACUGAGAAAGGCAGUCUGACAGCUCAACCAUUGGGGGAGUGAUGGAAUUGACUGUGGGCGAGGAAUGUUCCCCAUAAUGGACAAUCUGAUUAAAGUCACCCCCAACAAGCCAGGGACAAGAAUCUAACGAGAAAGAUUGCUGGAGGUUGAGAAGUUCCACCCAAAGGUUAGAGACUGCUUGGACUGGUGCAACACUCGAACUGAGGCCGGAUCCUUCCAUAUGAUAACGAUUCUACCAUCUUCAUCCGACAAAUGAUUGGAAGUAAAAUUCCAUCCACGACAUGCUUUAUUCAUAAUCUGGUUCAAACUAAGAUCCUUUAUAUGCGUUUCCAAAAGUGCGCCAAAAAGUGGUUGAUAGCUACUAAGCCAUUUAUUUAAGGGCUGAUGCUUAUCCGGGUCAUUUAGGCCACGGAAGUUCCAAAAAAAGUUUUUUGUAUCCAUUAGGAUAGA